CCGGGCUGGGCCGACCCGAAUUAGCAUGCCCUCCCCGGAAUUAAGCCUCCUGGGUGGGGGGUGGGGCCGGGCGGCGGGGGCUGGAGACCCAGGCUGCGGGCGCGCGGCGAACUUCCCAACUCCGGCGCAAGGCGCGCCGGACCGCGGGGGGAGGGAGUCCCGUGGCGGGAUUUGGGGGGAGGAAGUCCCGUUUCGUGAGUGUUUCUUCGUUUCUUUAAGAGCUACCAGAAAACAGCCCACCCCCACCCCAUAAAAAAAAAAAAAUAAGCGAGUGGGGAAGAGCCAGCCCCACGCCGGUCCGCCUCCCGCCCGCGGCCCGGCCUCCCUCCCGCUCGCCGCCUGGCUCGGCGCUCCUGCGCCCCGAGUUCUCCAUCCCCUGGAUCGCGGGCUCGCGGGGGCGCGGAGAAGAGGACCGAGGAAAGGAUUCUCUGGAAGCUGUUGGAUCCCUCAGGAAAUGGUGGUUGACAGAGCUGGACAAAUGGACACAGCACAGUCCCCGCCCUCAAGGAGACUAGAGACGGGUCAGGGAGACGGAUGCGCACACAACUUUGGAGCCUUCACUGGGACUCCUGGGGACGUCAGCUGUGACACUCACCAGGCGUCAUGGCAGUUUCCUGCGUGGGGGCUUCUGCAGAAUCUCUGCCACGUCCUGGACUUGGCUCUGUGCCGCUGUGACAGGGAAGCCACGGUUUCCUAGCAGGGUUCACUGGACCCUCGAAGGAUGAGGAUUUCUAAAGAAAGGUCCUAAAUUUCUCAUCUAAGGGCUUUCUGCUUCUGAAAGUAUGACCCGCUCUUAAAAGAACACAUUUUAUAGCAGGAUCUGGGACACAUGGACACGCACGUCACUGAAACAAGGGUUUCAAAAGCCAAAACUUGCCCAGAAUAGAGGUGGAACAGUCUUAGCAUCGUGGUGCUCAGAGAGUGGUCCCGAACCAGCAGCAGGUAUCGCCUGGGAUCUUGUUGGAGAGGAGGCCUCCCAGGCCCCACCCCACAUAUGCUCUAUGGGGGGUUAUUGGAACAUUACCAAGACUUCCAUGUGAUUCUGAUACAUUCUAAAGCUUGAGAACCACUGCAUUGUCAUAUAAUAUACUAUGCUAUUCUAAUCUAUUAAUGAAAAAAACUUUAUUUUUUAAAAGUUUAUUUAUUUUGAGAGGGGGGGAAUGAGUGGGGGAAGGGCAGAGAAAGAGAGGGAGAGAGAGAAUCCCAAGCAGGCUCCAUGCUGUCCACGCAGAGCCUGACGUGGGGCUUGAACUGAUGAACUACGAGAUCAUGACCUGAGCUGAAACCGAGAGUCAGAUGCUUAACCGACUGAGUCACCCAGGCGCCCUGGAAAAAAACGCCUUAUUUUUAAGCUACAAGUUUGGGGGUAGUCUAAAGGCUACCUAAGAAACCCUCUGAGGCUCUCUGUGGGCUCCCACCUGCUUCCCUUUCCAAGUUCAUCUCGUACUAUCUGCCCCUGACAACCUUGCUCUAGCCAGCCCGCCUCCUUUCUGCUUCUCAAACUCAGCCCUUUCUAGAAGCUCUUGAACCUCUGCCAUGUUGCACCCCUGCCGAGAGCCUCUCCCUGCGGCUCUCACAGGACUUGCUCGUGCUCUAGAAGGAGCCGUGACUUAGAUGCUCUUCCUCAGGGAGACUGCCCUGGCCAGUCUGUUUCCUUUUUGGUAGAGCCCUUAACACAGCUGAUACCUGUCUGCCUCCAGUUGAAGGUAAGCUGUGUGGAACGAUGCCUGGCAUAUAGUAGGUCUUCAGUAAAUAUUUGUCGAAGGAAGGAAUGGAUUAAUACCUUUCAAUCCGACGGACCUGGUGGAACACCUCAUGAUCACCCGGGGAGCAUCUUCAAUCCACAAAGCCCCGCUCCCCCUCUGCGGUGUGGUCCUUUGGGGAUGAUAUGGAGAAUCCCCUGUCCCGAUUCCUGGCUUCCCCUGUCCUCCACCAUUCUUCGUAUGCAAUAUCUUAACCAGGAAAAUAUAGAGGGAGUAGCACCAGACUCGAAGUUAGGGCACAAGGGUUACACACAGAGUUCAGUCCGGCCUGGCCAUUUGACCUUGGGCAGGUCUCUGAGUGCCUUUAGGCCCAGGGCAGUUGGGGUCACAAACCUGCUUAUAAGAGUCGUCAAGAGUGAGAUGGGAGAGAGCUUAGGAACAUGCCGCGUAUUACGAAGGACUCACAAGCUUCCCACCUGAGGUAUUGACCCAUAAGCCGCAUGUGCGACACAGAGACACAAGACCCUCAAGGAAGCCUCCGGAGCGUGGGCAUACAAGUCCGUGGUGGGAGCCCGCAGAUGUGAAAAUACUACCACUGGUCUUGUGAAGAGUCCCUGAGCCUCAGGGUCUAAAAGACGGCUCUGCUGAUUUGCAUAAGGAUUUGCAGAGCCUUUGCAAGUCAUUGGAGGCAGAUGGGAAUACAUCAGGAUCCAUAAUACUCUGGCAACCAUCGUUGGCCCCUUCACCUUCACGGCCUCCCUGCUGGAGCCCAGCCUGGAAAAAUGGCGGGUUGGGCUUCCCCUGGGGGCUCCCGCGGCCGCCCCCUCCUUCCAGAAGCGAGUAUGGGGGCUUCCGAGGGCACUCCAGUGCCACGCUGCCUGAUGGAUGGCAGGCCUUAAGCGUGACUGAGCUUUCACAGUGGAAACCAUUAAAGGGUAUUCUCCUUUUAA